GGGCGCGUAGCUCAGCUGGAUAGAGCAUCUGCCUUCUAAGCAGAGGGUCGCAGGUUCGAGUCCUGCCGCGCCCGCCA
rnacentral:tRNA from 1 species